rnacentral:rRNA from 1 species
AUUGAACGCUGGCGGCAGGCCUAACACAUGCAAGUCGAGCGGCAGCGGGGGAAAGCUUGCUUUCCCGCCGGCGAGCGGCGGACGGGUGAGUAAUGUCUGGGAAACUGCCUGAUGGAGGGGGAUAACUACUGGAAACGGUAGCUAAUACCGCAUAACGUCUUCGGACCAAAGUGGGGGACCUUCGGGCCUCAUGCCAUCAGAUGUGCCCAGAUGGGAUUAGCUAGUAGGUGGGGUAACGGCUCACCUAGGCGACGAUCCCUAGCUGGUCUGAGAGGAUGACCAGCCACACUGGAACUGAGACACGGUCCAGACUCCUACGGGAGGCAGCAGUGGGGAAUAUUGCACAAUGGGCGCAAGCCUGAUGCAGCCAUGCCGCGUGUAUGAAGAAGGCCUUCGGGUUGUAAAGUACUUUCAGCGGGGAGGAAGGUGUUGUGGUUAAUAACCAGAGCAAUUGACGUUACCCGCAGAAGAAGCACCGGCUAACUCCGUGCCAGCCGCCGCGGUAAUAC